AUUUUUCAUUUGUCAGAUGAAGGCAGGAAGAUUAAAGCACUGAAUAUAUGUGAACUAACUGGAGCAGGGCCUGACUCAUAUUAAGCAUUCUGUUAACCAUCAUCACCAUCACCACUACCACCACCACCGUCGUCGUCGUCGUCAUCGUCAUCAUCAUCAUCAAUUUAUCCUCAGUCAGAAGGCCAUGGAAGCAGAUUCAGAAAAUGGGUCAUCUUUAAGUAAAAGCCAUCUGAUAUUUUACUGCAAGCAUGUGGCGGUGAAGAAGACAAUGACUGCUAGUAUGGUUUGUGCCACUUCCUUGAUUUCCACUCAGGCACCAGCAGUCUUACCCACCAUUGCUUUGGUGCAGUCGGUGGAGAUGUCAACAGAUCAAAAGCGCAAGUAGUAUACAGAAGAAUAUCCAGAUAAAGGCCUCCAGGCAAAUGCACUAGAGAAACUAUAAAAGACUCUGAGGAUGUUUGACGCCUUGAGUCUCUACGCUGAUGCCGUCAUCUCACUUCCUGAUCUCGGAUCUUUUCCAGGACUCUGCUCCCUAUGCCCAGUGAAUAUAAAUUUUCAGAACUGUGAUCACAGCCCUGGCUAAAUAGUGCUCCUGGUCUUUGUAGGCAAAAUGUUUUCUCCAGCUUUCUGCUAGUUCUUAGAAGCCAGUGUGAAGGAAAAGGGAGGUCAUGAAGCAUCACUCCAAGCUGAUCAUCUAUUCAGUUGUCUUGAGAAUUGUGUAGAAUAAAAUAACUGUCUCCUUGAGUGAUAAAUGUCUAAGACUUUGUCCCAAAGUUGGGUGUUCUCUGAGGAAUUGCUGGAGACACUAUUGCCCUCUGUGGCUAGGUAAGUUUUCCAGACACAAUCCAAGGGAAGCAAAUGCCUUUGGUGAAGGAGGAGAGACUCCUACGUGGCAUGGGGACCAGCAGCU